CCAUGCCCGGCUAAUUUUGUAUUUUUAGUAGAGACAGGGUUUCUCCAUGUUUGUCAGGCUGGUCUUGAACUCCUGACCUCAGGUGAUCCACCCGCCUCAGCCUCCCAAAGUACUGGGAUUACAGGCGUGAGCCACUACGCCCAGCCAUUUAAGUUUUAUUGAACAUCAAUUCUGUGCCAGGCAUUGUGCUAGCACUUGGUGUAUAGUGAAGAACAGAGAGAAAGGCAACUCCUAACCAACUGGAGUUCUCUUUCUAAUGGGGCCACAAACCAUAUAAAUGUGAUCACAUAAAUAAUCAUUUAAUUACAGGUUUAAUCAGUGCAAGGAAGGAAAAUGACAGAGAGUAAUGAGCAUGGAUAAUGGGGGAACUUACCAUCCCUCAACAGUAAGGGGUCGGGGCUGAACAGGGGAGGUUGGGUCAGACCUGAAGAAUGAGUAAGAGUCAGCUAGUCAAGGAGAAAGAAGUUUCUGGGUAGAGGUGGGCUUCUGCCAAAAUGUUGGAUGAAAACUUUAUGGUGUGUUGCCUUGACUGGAGGUCUUAAUUCUUAGCUGAGUACUCCCAAAAUGAUAAAUAUUUAAUGGUGGAAUCUUUGAGAGGCUUGUGACCAGCAGAUAGGAUCAGGAGGCUUUCUCAUUAGCCUUCAAACCAAGCCAUAUGGCUAGGAGGCCUGGCUCUGGGUAUGUAGUGUGUGUGUGUGAGCAUGAGUGUGUAGGAGUGUGACUGCAUGUUUGUGACUGUGAAUGUCAAUGCGGGUGUAUAUGGAUAGAUGCAGAGCUAUAACAGAUAAUUUUGGCAUCUGGGUCAAGCAACAGAAAUAUAUCUUGAAAGUCAGGCAUACAUCAGUUCAGGAGGGAGUUGGAAGGGAGCAGAGAAGAAAGACUGCUCUCCCACAUGCACACAGGAGCCUCCUACAAGUGGGUUCCCUGUUCAUGCCUUAGACAUUCCAGGUCAGCCAUCUCUGCCAAGAGUCAGGGGCAAGCUAGCCAGCACUUCUAGAGAAGGACUGGUGCUGAAGAUUGGGGGAGGAGAAGCCUUUAAAAUGUGCACAAUCUUUGAGAAAAUAAUUCUUUAAAAUGUUGGCACGCUCCACAUUUUUGUUCCUGGGCCCCUGGUGAGUGUGCCUUUAAGACUCUGAAUGUAUAUGUGCAUAUAUGUGUGUAUGUGUGUGUUGACUGUGCUUAUGUGUAUAUGAAUAGGUGUUGGGGACUACCAUGUAAAUUGUGAUAACUAAGAGCCCCUGCGAGUUUGGAGCCAGCAGAUGUGUUCCUGCACUCCUCCCCUCCCACUUUAUGUGCUCUGACACUCCCACUAUGCUUAUCUCUGUAGCUCUCAUCAGAAGCAGAGGCUGGGAUUAUCUGCCUAGGGCUGAGUCCCUUCAUAUUAACAACAGACUGAAGAUGUACUGACUGCAACGAGACAAAUAGAAAUAAUAUGGUCACAUUCACCUCCAUUUCAUAAAGCAAGUGGAACCUGGGCUCACUGCGAUGAAUGAGCUUCAAUAAUUCAUCCCAGCUGCUGGUGUGCCUUCAAUGCAAUGAGAGAGAAUAACAUUAAGGAAUAGCUUUGGAAUGGGAAGAACUCUCUGAACCCUGAAGGAUGAGAAGUCUGGAAAAGAGAGUGGGAAGAGUAGACCAGAAGGAGGAAAAGCCACAUAUUUAAGGUUUUGCUUCUUGCUGCAAGCAGAUUCCUUGGCUUUACCUUCAGAGCUUUUGACUCAAUGCAGAAAUGGAAAAGCCAAUCCUUAAAUUCAAAUGGAAUUGCAGCGGACCCCAAAUAGCCAAAGCAAUCUUGAAAAAGAAGAACAAAGCUGGAAGACUUACACUUCCUGAUUUCAAAACGUAUUACAAAGCUACAGUAAUCAAAAUAGUGUGAUAGUAGCAUAAAGGAUAGAGAGAUAUAUAUCAACGAAAUAGAAUUGAGAGUCCAAAAAUAUACUAAUACAGCUAUGGGGUCAAUUGAUUUUUGACAAGGGUGCCAAGAGCAUUCAAUGGGCAAAAAAUAGUGUCUUCAACAAAUAGUGCUGGGACAACUGGAUAUCCACAUACAAAAAAGGAAGAAGAAGGAGAAGGAGGAGAAGAAGAAGAGGAAGGAAGAGGAGGAGGAGGAAGAGAAAGAAGGAGGAAGAAGAAGGAAGAAGAAGGAGAAAGAAAGAAGAACAAAGAAGAAAGUUGGACCCCUUACCUCGUACCAUAUACAAAUAUUAACUCACUAAGGAGCUUCUGGAUAGCUGAACACAUGAAGAUACUUGGAGGGAAGGUGGCAUGCCUAGAGAUGUAUGAAAGCUCUAUGCCCCUUCCCACAUGGCUUGACCUAUCCAUCUCUCCAUCUGGCUGUUCAUCUUUAAAAUACCCCUUAUGAUAAAUGGGUAAAUGCUACAUGUUCACUUGGCAUCCUAGGUCAGGCAUUUGGUCUCCACCAGAGCCCAGGAACAAGCCCAGGAGCUGUAUAUUUUAUUUUUUCAAAGUGUGAAUGAGUUAUUUGUGUAAAAAGACAUAGCUGCAAUACAAAACUCUAGGAGUCUACGUCAUGAUUCCUCUAUCAGGGAUUCCCAGAUGGUUCACCAGCAUUCCUAUCUGCAAUAGACAUUUGGAGCACUGUUGAAUCUGCUGGGUCAUAAGGCCCAAGCAGGAAAGCAGCUUAUAUCAUACCUGCAAUAGCUUCAGAAACUUUUCUUGCUCUGGUCCUGUAUUAGCUUUCUAUUGCUAUGUAACAAAUUACCACAAACUUAGUGGCCUAAAACAAAAACAAAAAACAAACAAAAAUUUUGAACUCAUUAUGUAUCAAAUACCUAAAUGUAAGAGCAAAAAGUGUAAAACCUUUAGGAGAAAACAUAAGGGUAAAUAUUCAUGACUUUGGAUUUGGCAAUGGUUUCUUUUUUUUUUUUUUUUUUUUUUGAGAGCGGUCUUGCUUUCAUCCCCCAGGCUUGAGUGCAAUGGCUCAAUCUCGGCUCACUGCAACAUCCGCCUCCCGGGUUCAAACGAUUCUCCUGCCUCUGCCUCCCAAGUAGCUGGGAGCAAAGUGCCGGCCAUCACGCCCGGCUAAUUUUUAUAUUUUUUAGUAGAGACAGGGUUCCACCAUGUUGGCCAGGCUGGUCUCGAACUCCUGACCUUAGGUGAUCUGCCCGCCUCAGCCUCCCAAAGUGCUGGGAUUACAGGCAUGAGACACCACGCUCGGCCUGGCAAUGGUUUCUUAAACAUGAUAUCAAAACCACAUGCAACAAAAAGUAAGUAUGGAUACACUGGACUUCAGCAAAAUUAAAAACUUUCAUGCAUCAGAGAACAUCUUCAAGAAAGUGAAAAGACACUUUUCAUUUCAUUUGUCAAUUUGCAAAUCACAUAUCCAAUAAACUUCUAGUAUCCAGAAUAUAUAAAGGACUCAUAAUUUGAUAACAAAAAGACAAUCCUUUUUUUCUGAGACAAGGUCUCACUCUGUCACCCAGGCUAGAGUACAGUGGAAAGAUCACAGUUCAUUGCAGCCUCAACCUUCCUGGGGCUCAAGUGAUCCUCCCACCUGAGCCUCCUGAGUAGCUGGGACUACAGGUGCCACCAUGCCAGGCUAAUUUUUUGUAUUUUUUCGUAGAGAUGGGGUUUUGCCAUGUUGCCCCAGCUGGUCUCAAACUCUUGGGCUCAAGUGAUCCACACUCUUUGGCCUCCCAAAGUGCUGGGAUUGCAGGUGUGAGCACCCUGCCUGGCCUAGAUAACUCAAUUUUUUAAAUGAGCAAAGGACUUGAAUAGACAUUUCUCUAAAGAAGACAUAUAAAUGGCCAAAAAGUACAUGAAAAGAUGCUCAACAUCAUUAGUCAUUACGGAAAUGCAAAUCAAAACUACAAUGAGAUACCACUUUAUACCCACUGUGAUGGCUAUAAUUAAGGAAAAGAACAAGUAUUGGCAAGAAUGUGGGGACACUGAAACCCUUGGGCCUUCCUGAUGGGAACAUAAAAUGGUACAGCCACUGUGGAAAACAGUUGGUGGUUCCUUAAAAUGUUAAACAUAGAAUUGCCGUAUGACCCAGCAG
rnacentral:lncRNA from 1 species